rnacentral:lncRNA from 1 species
UGAGAGGUUGCUUGUGAGAGGUUGCUUGUGGCGGUGAGACCGUUCGGCUGGUGAGAGGUUGCUUGUGGAGGUGAGAGGUUGCUUGUGGCGGUGAGACCGUUCGGCUGGCGGUGAGAGGUUGCUUGUGAGAGGUUGCUUGUGGCGGUGAGACCGUUCGGCUGGCCGACACCUAUUUGGGCCGCCCAAGUGGAACGCGCUUUGGUGGCAGCGUGUCACACGGUACUCGCCUACCUGAUCUCUCCACGUGUACGGUGAAUUGGUAAUUUUCUUAUUUUACAGGAUGGAUGGAUGGAUAGAUGAAUGGAUUAAAACGUUUUUUGUUUCUAUUCCUAAGAUAAAAAAUUCUUUCAUGAUUAUUAAUUUUUAAUGUUACAAGAUUUUGACUACAUUUUAAUCUAUAGAAUUAAACUUUUACUUCCUGAUUUAAUUUCGAAAUAAUAAUCUACUUUUAUUAAGGAUAAAAAUAUUCAUGAUAUUAUUUUAAUAACUAGAGAGAUCACACACUCUAUUUAUAAUUAUAAUGAUAAAAAAAAAUUAUGUUAUGAUCAAAUUAGACCUUAAAAGUAUUAUUAUUAUUUAUAACUCUUCAAGUUUAUAAUAUUUCUAAUAAAUUUAUUGAUUAUAUUAGAGAAGAUUAGAUUAAGUGAUCCUAUUUAAUUAGGUAAGAUAUAUUAUGGAUAUGAUUGGAUUUUGAUUAUAGUUAUUGCCUAAUAGAAAGGAAGUUCAAUUAAGGUAAGAUUCAUUAAGAGACAUCAUUGAUUGAAGGAACUCUCAUAAUAACUUAUUAUGAGAUAAAACAUAAAGACGAAUGUACAGGAUGCAAUUGAGAGAUUAUGAUUUCUCUCUCAACCACCAUAAUUGAGGUCACCUGAAAAGAUAGGAAGAUACGAGAGAAAGAGUAUAGUUAUCCUUGUAAAUUGAUAGCAAUUUUGGAUAAAGACAUC